AUCCUUGCACUGAUGGCGGACUCAGGCUGGUAUCAAAGGUUCUCUGCCUCCCUGGUUCCAGCACAGCAACUGGAAGGCAGCAUUUUGAUAGCAGCUUUUCAUUACUGGCCCUAUUUGUCAGACCUUUCAGCCACCCAUCCAGGAACAAGAAAGCCACCUUGCAGCUCUGCUCAUCCCAGUCUGUCUCCUUGGUGAUGGGGUUCAAAGGAAGCUAGGUAGCACUUGAAGAUGCCCCUACAACAUCUUCUGGCUUGGGCAUGAUGGGAUAAGGCCAGAGCAGGAAAAGUUAGAGCUGAUGAGGACCCACAGCUGCUGCCUAUACCUGUAUGUGUACAGUGCCCUGCUUGGCCUCCCAACCCUGUGCUUGGAGGCCAUCACCCUAUUUGCUGCCAUGACCAAGGCUGCUUGUUUGGUUUCCAAAGUGUUCGGACUGUUACGAAUGGCCAAACCCCAACUACUUCCAGCAGAGACCUUCCCCAGGGAAACUGCUCUGGGAAAUCUGCUUGGGAAAGAGGGAAGAAACUACCACCAUUUUUUAUGGAAAAGAAAAUGAAUCAUUAUUGAACAGUUCUGACAAUAAUUGAGUCAACCUAAGCCAGACACUUUAAAGUCUCUCCCCAUUAAGAAUCACACUUAACCCAGAUGUGCAGUUUGAAGGACCAAAGCUUUGGGGGAAGAUCUUGCGGCACCGAAGCAUCAUGAAGCCAUAAUGCAGCAGCAGCAGCCAGGAGAAAAUUCUUCUGCUUUUCAGCUUAUCCAGGUCAAACCAGGCAACCCAAACAUCCCCCCUGCCUUCAGAUGCUGGCAGUUUCUGGACAGCAUCGUGUACAAGAUAACCUCCUCUGCCAAGCCGCCACUAAACUGCUUUGAGAGCAGCAAAAGCAGCACAAGGAGCCGGGCAGCACCCGGUGACACAGAUCUAAUCACCCCACCAUUUGCCCCAAACGUCUCUCUGCCAGGCAGUGACAUUUCUACGCUGUCUCAGCUCUCUCCCUCCAUCACCAUGGUUACAACAGCCGCCAAUCCACAGGCGAGUCCUUCCUAGGUACCACCAAGCCCUUUGGGAGAUGCUUCGAGAGCCAGCCCCUUUGGCAGGGAGACACUUCGGGGACCCCGGGACAGCCCAUAGCACCAAAAAUUCCCCUUUUUUUCUUCUUUCCCUCCUCCUUUAUUAUUUUCUCUUUUUCUCCUUUUUUUGAAGCACAAACAAUGGAGCUAAAAGGUUGGGUAUCAGGCCGAUAAUCAUGAAUGACGUGUCGUUAUUACACACCACACAUUCAUUAUCUCCCAGUCCAGCCAUGUCACAGGCGGCUGGAGGAGGGCAGAUAACGGGGUGCCUUCAUGCAGAUGGCUUAUUAUCAGGAUGUUCCAGGAGGGGCUUUAAGACAGUUAGUGAUGCUGUUUGCCAGUUAAAGAUUAGAGACCCCAGAGAAUAAUUAACAAUCCCAAACCCCAGUUUUUCUGCUGGAUUCUUCUGCUUUCUCCCCCCUCCCCAUCCUCUUUAAUCUAUUCACUCUAGCAGGUGUAAUAAAGCGAUAAGGACAGGCUCCAGGGAUGUUUGUUUGGCUACUACGGGUGUAUAAACCAACAAUGGAUGGUAUUUUACUUCUGGCUUUCAGUGCCUUGAAUCAAGACCAAAAACUUUGCAGCCCACUUGCCCACACACAGACACCCCAACAUGCCACGUUCCCGGCUCCCACAUGGGUGACCAGGCUUUUCCCCAGCCCAAUGGAUUACAAUGGUGGGACAGGCUCCCUUUUUGCUUCUGGAGGACCAAAUUGCAUCGCUUGGGUGUCGAGGUGCCCAAUGCCAGGUACAAUGCUCAGGGCUGGAGCUGAUGGUCCUUCCAGCAGCCAUUUACCUCCAUACAGCAAGUCUCUAACUAAGCCACCUUGGAAUAAUUUAUACAGUAGGUAUCCACCUGCUCAAGCUGCUUCAGGGCUGUGGUCACAGCUGAAACAUCUUAAACAUCCAUCCCUAAAGUGCCUCAGGAGAGAUUAGGGGAGCAUUAGAGUACAGGUGGCUUUCAACAAGAUGUCCUGUUAUCAGGGGAUCUGAGAGACAACUUUCACCCUCCUAGGCCACAAAGGAAAGCUGUGAUACGUCUCCUAAUGAGGCAGCAGUGCAAAAAGACCAUUCUGAAUGUCCUCUGCCCAAGAGGAGACUGUCCUGUUCACAGCAGAUCCCAACCCUGAAUGUAUCCCUGAAGCCCAGGCUCCAGAGAUACUGACAUUACAGAGUAGGGUGUAGGAUGGGGUAUCCAUGGGUGUCCUUCCCCUUCAUUGGGGAGCAUUGGGGUGACUUGUGGAGGACACAGUCACCUCCUAUGCUGUGUGGAGAGAGGCACUGAGCAGGAUUUGGCCCCCAGGCAAUUUGGCUCAGGGGCCUUUGAGGAGGUCACCAAGGCUGUUGGAGAUGCCCAUCAUCUGGAAGCUAUCAGGAUGCUCUGGAGGGCAUCCCCCAGCUUGCAGGGUCAAUGUGGCAGGCACAAGUGCUGGGAUGCCAGAAGUUGCCUUCCUGAUCACGCUCACCCUGCUAGGGAGGGAUGAGAGCAUUGUGCUUUAAAGAGCAUCCCCAACCCUAUCAGCAAGAGAUGAGAUAUCCUAAUUAUGGCAGAACAGGCGAGGAUCCGGGCCGUAUCAGCCAGCACAGAAAGGAUCACACCAAGAAGCAUCUACGAGCCUGCUGCAUGGCUCGUGGGAAGGCAGCCUGCUUCGUACAGACAACCUCGGGUUGUGCUUAACAGGCAAGGGAAACUGAGGCAGGACUGCAUGGAGGGGAUACCCCACCAUGGAACAACACACUGGUUCUUGCAAAAGAUGUCCCCUAGAAAGUGAACUCUGAAGGGGCACUGGCACAAUGAAGCCCCAUCCUUCUCCUUGCUUGGACCUAUGACUAUGGAAGGGAUCCACUGGGAAAAGAGACCCUGAGACCCAUUGAGCACACCUCCACUCCAAACCCACAUCCAGGGGAACAGCCCAGACAUUCAUUACACAUUCAGGGUGUGCACAUGGCAGGGAAUAAACUCCCAUUGUUACUCAUUAUAAGGAUGCAGUUUCUAACUCCUUUUGCAACCGAGAGGUAAAAAUUAAUGGGUUCCCCUCCUCUCGCCACACCCCCAGCCUGAGUGCUGAUGCAGCAGCAGCAAACAAUGACUAAUCCUCCUUAAACCCUACUGAGCGAA